UCGACACUAGAAAGCCAACAACCAAAACCCGGGUGAGAAUGAUACCAACCUACAACCAUUUCUGGCCGUCCUGUUUGCUUAAGCAUAUCCAUCAUAUUUUUUUGGAAAACUGGAUCGACUGCUUCUACACUGACACCUGUACCAGAUUGAGGCAUUGCAAAAACAUCAACAACACGUACUGUAAAGUCAUCAACGAAUUCUCCUAACAUCAAACCCAUAACUUCCAUUGGUGUACCAUG